AAAUGAAUAGACGGGGGCCCGCACAAGCGGUGGAGUAUGUGGUUUAAUUCGAAGCAACGCGAAGAACCUUACCAGGCCUUGACAUGGAUGUAAAUGCCCUAGAGAUAGGGAGAUAGCUAUACAUCACACAGGUGGUGCAUGGUUGUCGUCAGCUCGUGUCGUGAGAUGUUGGGUUAAGUCCCGCAACGAGCGCAACCCUUGUCGCAUGUUACCAGCAUUAGGUUGGGGACUCAUGCGAGACUGCCGGUGACAAACCGGAGGAAGGUGGGGAUGACGUCAAAUCAUCAUGCCCCUUAUGGCCUGGGCUACACACGUACUACAAUGGCGUCUACAAAGAGAAGCGACCUGGCGACAGGAAGCGGAUCUCAUAAAGGACGUCUCAGUUCGGAUUGAAGUCUGCAACUCGACUUCAUGAAGUCGGAAUCGCUAGUAAUCGCAGAUCAGCAUGCUGCGGUGAAUACGUUCUCGGGCCUUGUACACACCGCCCGU
rnacentral:rRNA from 1 species